UAAUGCCGGAUGCUCCAGUUGAUCGCAUGGUCUUCUGGGAAAGCUUUCGCGGUAUGGGAUGGGGUCGCGUCCUAUCAGCUUGACGGCGGGGUAACGGCCCACCGUGGCUUCGACGGGUAGCCGGCCUGAGAGGGCGACCGGCCACAUUGGGACUGAGAUACGGCCCAGACUCCUACGGGAGGCAGCAGUGGGGAAUAUUGCACAAUGGGCGCAAGCCUGAUGCAGCGACGCCGCGUGAGGGAUGGAGGCCUUCGGGUUGUAAACCUCUUUUAUCGGGGAGCAAGCGAGAGUGAGUUUACCCGUUGAAUAAGCACCGGCUAACUACGUGCCAGCAGCCGCGGUAAUACGUAGGGUGCAAGCGUUAUCCGGAAUUAUUGGGCGUAAAGGGCUCGUAGGCGGUUCGUCGCGUCCGGUGUGAAAGUCCAUCGCUUAACGGUGGAUCCGCGCCGGGUACGGGCGGGCUUGAGUGCGGUAGGGGAGACUGGAAUUCCCGGUGUAACGGUGGAAUGUGUAGAUAUCGGAAA
rnacentral:rRNA from 1 species